rnacentral:lncRNA from 1 species
UUGGGAGGAAGCUUGGGAAGCGGAGGGCACGGCUUCUUCGUAAAUGGAGGAAUCUUCGGAAGAGGAGGAAGUGGCUUGUGAGGAAUAGGAGGGAAGGGUUUCGGUUUGUAAAUAGGAACCGGCGGUGGAAGCGGCUUCUUAUAAACCGGUACCGGAUGAGGCUUAUAAACCGGUGGUUUGUAGACAGGAACCGGCGGUGGAAGCGGCUUCUUGUAGACCGGCACCGGAUGAGGCUUAUAAACCGGUGGUUUGUAGACAGGAACCGGCGGAGGGAGUGGUUUCUUGUAGACCGGCACCGGGUGAGGCUUAUAAACCGGUGGUGGAAGAGGUUUCUUGUAGAUGGGAGGGUGAGGGUAAUGAUGGUGGAAGCUUUUCAAUGGCGGAAGUGGUGGAAGCUUAGGCAAUGGAGGGAAGUUGUGGUGGUGGUGAGGCCAAAAGGAGGCUGAGACACAUGUUAUUGGUGAGAAUUUGAGGUUCUCUUUUAACCCAAACUGGUGUUUCUGGUCGGUGGUGGAUUUGAAAACUAGCUUAGAGGAUUCUAAGCCAUUAAUGGAAGGGCAAGGUUGAGGUGAUGAUACAGUGCGAAGCUGUGCGUAGCAAUGUUCAUUCAAUUUGCCAUCUUUGAACAAGUGUUGUGGAAGAGAGACUUUGAAAUUGCCUUGUUUGUCAAGCUUUCCAGACCCUCUGGUUUUGAAAUGGUCACCAUUUUCUGGCUUGCAAUCUAUGGUUACACGAAGACCUAGAAAGAGAAAACGCCAUUAUCAUAACAUCAUAAAUAUUGCUUCAAAUUAAAGAAAGGGAGAAUACACCAUUAACAUAACAUCAUAAAGUUUAAUUCUCUAAUGUUAACAAAAUGUUAGUGUGAUGGUUCACUGGUAGAUUUAUACACUAAUAAUGAAUCAAAUAAAAACCUCUUUUUACUAUUUUUUAGAGCUUUUGCCUUACUCGUGACUAAAAUUUUUAAAUUUUUGGGGAGAAGUGUAUCUUUAUUUAAGCAGCUUUUUGUUUUAUGUAUAAGGUGUAAUGCAGAUUUAUCCCUAUCAUGAGUGCUUGAGUAUCAACUCUUUAAUUGACCAUCGUCAAUACAAAAGUAUGUACAUAUAAUUGAGUUUGAACUUGGAUAUGUAUGUAUAUCAAUCUUAGUGUAAUAAUAUGUGUGUUGAGGAGAGGUCGCGCUUUGGGCCAAUCUUGGACCCUCAAUGAAGGUAUUGUUCUCUGGAUUUCUAUACUCGGUUUUAACUUUGAGUUUUUGUCUCAUAACUUUGAAGGGAGUCCAAAAGGGUUCGCGAAAUUUGAUGGAGCGCCUACUCCACCAAAGAAAUGUUUAACAUUUGGCCUUAAUGGGUUUUGAACUCAUGCCCUUAUAUGGCAUUAGUGGGUAAGAACUAGAUCUGUUCAUGGGUCGGGUUAUCCGCUUAAGCCUAAAGGCCCAUCAGAAAUUUGAAAGGGUUUGAGUAAAAAAUUAGGCCUGAAAAAUAGAUUUGGACAAAAAAAUAGGCCAAUUUAUAAUAUGGGUCGGGCUCGAGGCUUGAACAUUCAAGGCCUGAGCCUGACCCGACCCAUUUUUAAGUUUAUAAUAUUUUAUAUUAUGUUAUUUUUAUAUAUUAUAUAAUUUAGAACACAUUAAAAAAAAUAAACCUAUACUAAAUAUAUAAUACUACUCUAAUGUAAAUAUUAAAAUAAAGUUCAGAUGACUAUAUAAAAAUUUUCAAUAAAUUAAAAAAAGUAUAAAAUUAUUAAAUAUUAAAAUAAUAUAAUAUAAAUAUUUUUAAAAAAUUUAAAAAAUAAUAUGGGUGGACCUAAAAUAGGCUUGGGUUAGUCUUUUGCAAAUAUGGGCUUGUUUGAGUAAAAUUUUAAGCCUAUAUUCCGGGUCGGACCAGGCUUGGACAAGCAUAAAGUAUGUUAAUAUCAUGCCUAAGCCCGACUCGAACCUAUGAACACCUCUAGUAAGAACAUUACCGUGAACUUUCUUAGGCUCUCCUUAAAAUACAAGUGACAAAACUCAGAUAAUCAAACAUCAACACCCACAAACAAUACUUCUGAGGAUCCGGAACCGACCCAAACAACUAACUCCCCCCAGCAAUAUAGGCCACUACAACAUGCAAGGAAUGGCCUCGAAAUUAAUUGAGCAGCUUAG